UACGUAGGAGGCGAGCGUUGUCCGGAAUUACUGGGUGUAAAGCGCGUGUAGGCGGCCUGCCAAGUCUGCUGUGAAAGCGCCUGGCUUAACCGGGCGAGGUCGGUGGAAACUGGCGGGCUGGAGGCCGGUAGAGGGGGGUGGAAUUCCCGGUGUAGUGGUGAAAUGCGUAGAGAUCGGGAGGAACACCAGUGGCGAAGGCGGCCCCCUGGGCCGGGCCUGACGCUGAGGCACGAAAGUGUGGGGAUCAAACAGG
rnacentral:rRNA from 1 species